AACAUUUUUGAUGCUCAACUAGAUGCUGUUCAUUUCGCUUUGGCCAAACGGAAAUCCAGAAGCAUACCGAUUAUUGUUACGGAAACCGGCUGGCCUACGAGAGGUUCAGGAAGACAUAGGUUAGCGAUGGCUAGUCUUGACAAUGAUGACGACUCCUACGCUAGUAUUGACAAUGCCCAGACUUACAACACCAAUUUAAUUCGUCAUGUUACGGAUGGCUCUGGUACGCCUGCUAGGCCUGAUGAAGAGCUAGUUGUGUACAUUUUCUCCUUGUUUAAUGAGAACCUGAAGCAAGGACCGGAAACAGAGAGAAACUUUGGUUUAUUUUAUCCCGACAUGACGAGUGUUUAUAACCUGGUCUUCCCUGGAAAAGGAACCGGAAGAACUUGGUGCGUUGCUUCUAGUCAGGCUCCUAGGUCGAAUUUACAGAAUGCAUUAGAUUGGGCAUGCGGUCCUGGAAAAGCUGAUUGUUCGGAAAUUCAGCCUAACCAGAAAUGUUUUCAGCCAGAUACUCUACUUGCUCAUGCCUCUUUCGCCUUCAACAAUUACUACCAGAAAAAUGGUGCUACUGAUGCUUCCUGCAGUUUCCGUGGAAAUGCAAUCAAAGUUGAUAAGGAUCCUAGUAAGUCUCUUGUUUGACCCUUCAAUUUAACUCAUCUGAUUUUCCAAACUGCAAACAGUUAUAUAUCUAUUUAAUUUAUUUGUGCAGGCUAUGGUAAUUGCUUCUAUCACUGUAAGUACAAAUUCUGAAACAUCCCAUGUUCCAUACACUGUCUUGUCGCCCUUUCUAUUGUUAAUAUUAUCAUUACACGCUGAUUCCCUUUUUUUUGGAUUUGUACAGAAGAGGACGUAUCAUAAGAAUAAAGUAGUUGUUGUGAUUAUCGUGGGCGACCGCAUGAGCUAAGCUAAUGUUACCAACGUAUAAUUAUUGCGAUUAUCACAUGAUUACCAAAACUGCAGCUUGUAAUACGACUACCAUUGCUACUUCUUUGUAAUGGUUUUCAUCAGUGAAUCUAUCAAAAACAACUUUUACAGUAAAAAAAUAGAGAGUAGGAUGAUCUCACAAAUAUUUUAGUUUGCCCUUGUUUGAAUUUUUUCAGAACAUUUCGUGAACAGUUUAGUGCACACAACUCUUGCUCUCUUGGGUAAAAUAAGUAAAAGGAUUAAAGUAAUAUAAAAUUAAAUAAAUUAAAAUCAAACAUCAGUAAAAUAGUAAAUAAAAACCCAUGGUACUGUUCCCAACACCUCACCAAAGAUUAUUUUUGAAAUGACAUAAAAAAUAAUAAUAUGAGAUGAUCUUAUCUAUUUUUUAAACCGAAAAAAAAUAAUAUUCAAAUGAAAAGAAUUUAACUGUAAUUUCAGAUCUCCCAACUCAAAUCCCAAAAUUUAGUCAACUUUUAACUGAAAAUAGUUUAAUUGCUGAUAUAUAGUAAAAAAAUUAACAAAAAAAAUUAAGAAGAAAUAAAGCUAAAAUAAUAAAAAGAAAGAAAACGGCAAGUAAGCGCAAGCUACAAUUGAAAAGCAAAAACCUCUUCCCCCAAAAAACAAAAGCAAGAAAAAAUGCACCCUUUGUUUCUUCAAUUUCCAGUAUUUAUGCUGAAAAUUGAUACAUAGUAUUUACUGCUAUACAAAACUUUAAAGAUAAAGUUUAUCUAAAUAAAAUAUAAGGAAUAAAACUUAAUCCUAAUUAAAUUCUUAAUAAAUAUUUUUACAGAUAUUAUUUAAAUAAAAAUAAUAAAAAUAAAUAUUAUAUAAAAUAAUCUCAAAUCUUUCAUGUGACUUCAUAUUUUCACUUGUUCCCGACUGUAACACCCCAAUCGCCGGGUUUAAGUUACAAUAUGUUACAUUCGUUUCUGGAACAAUUACAAUUAAAGCACGGACAAUUCAUGGUAGUCAAUAAUAAAAAUUCAGUUAAAACAUACAUUUGACAUGAAAUAAAGUCAAUCAUAGGUCUUAUACAAUCUUACGUAAGUUAUAGAGUUGACCCGAGCUAAAAUCAUAGGAUCAACGUCGAGACGACGAUGAACAAUUUGUCACACAUCAUGACGUCAAGCCACUUGAUGUUGCAACGUCACUCACUGUAAUGGCCUCGUCGAGACAACGAGUCUCUCGUAGCACUUUGACCCUAUAAGUCAUUCCUCAUCGUAACGAUGUUUGAAUGAUGUCACGACCACACAAGCUAUUUUGGCCAAAAUGUACCAAUUAAUACCUAUUGCUAACCUUUUCACAACCUUAUAUCAUUUAUACCCAAAACAAUCCCUCUUAACCUGUAUUAAACAUCACAAGACAUGCAAAACAUAGUAGAAAUGCAACAACUGAAGUGGUUCGAAUUAUAGAAAUACAAACCAUAAACUUUGAGCUAUUUGUGAACGACUUUAACUUUUCCUCUCCCUUUCGAGGAUUUCGGUUCGACGUUAGCUACAGAUUAAUAUAAACACAUAAUACCAUCAAUAUACGACCAAAUUCACAAUCAAUUGUCAUUUUAUACAAUCUUUGCAUUUUAUUUAAUUUAGUCCGUAAAAUCGGGACUAACAUAACUUCCAAUUUAAAACUCCAAAUUAAAAUCCGAUUUCACUAUAAUCCAUUUGGGACCUCCUAUUUCUUAUUUCUAUAGUAAAUUUUACAAUUUAUUUAGUUUAGUCCCUAACAUACGAAAUUAUCAAUUAAUUUUACAAUUUAUUCUUUUUUCACUAUUAAGCUUAAGAUUUAUUAAUUUAACACCUAAAACUUUCAAUUCUCAACUAUAGCAACUUUCAAAAUUUUAACAGUUUUACGAAUCGAAAUAUAAAUUAACUAGAUUAAACUUCUAAUAUCUCAAAAAUAAAAAAAUUAUAAGAAAAAGACUGGAUUGUAUUAACCAGUUAAAGCUUCCUAAGAUUGAAACCGUGAAGAAAUAUAGGUAAACUAGAGAAAACUUAUGAAGAAAACUGUUUUCAAUUUAAUUCUUUCUUUUUACUUAGUUCAAUACAACGUCAAAUGAAUAUAUUUAUAGGAAGAAAAUAACUUCCUUGCGUAACAAAUUAGCUAACAACUCAGCAGACCCUAACUACCUCUCUAACAGAUACUAUCUUUAACAUGCAUCCAUCUUCUCUACUGAAACAACCCGAAGAAAAUUUCUAAACCGAGUGAAACACAAAACAGAGAGUGGUUUAGUUAAAACAUCAGCAACUUGAUCGGACGCAGGAACUUCCCCGACCAAAAGAGAACCAUUGGCAACCUUUUCACGAACAAAGAAUAGAUCUAACUCCACAUGUUUAAAUUUGGAGUGUAACACAGGAUUGGUAGCAACAGCUACUGGAGCUAUCACACCAAAUAUUGGGCUGAGUAGUCAACCCAAUAUGUAACUCCUGAAGUAACGAAAGUAUCCACAAAACAUCACUAGUGACAGCAGCCAAACUUCGGUAUUCAGCUUCAGCUGUAGACCGAGAUACCACCUACUGUUUCUUAGAAGACCAUGACACAGGGUUGGACCCAAAAAAUACACAAUAUCUUGAAGUAGACCGCCGAUCAUCAAAAUUCAACCCCCAGUUUGCAUCCGAAAAACCAACUAGAGACAAAGAAAUCUUUAACAAACCGUUAUGGCCGAAACUUCUCUUUUCUUUUGUCAAAUUCAGUUGCACGAGGAAGAAGGAAGAAAUGCCUUGUCUUUCCUUCCACCACACUUUUAUCGUACAUUAUUUUAUUUUUAUUACAAGUUUUAUAAAUUUUAUAACAUAUUUCCUUAUAUAAUUAUAUAGCCACCGUACACUUUAAUUCUUAAGUGGUAUAAUUUUCACUUUAGUCCUUAGUUCAUGUAACUAUGUAAAUAUUUAAGAAACAUAUUUACGAAUUUAGUUUACGAAAAUGAGAUCCCGAAAUCAUAUUUUUCGAUACUACUGACUUUUAGAUCGAUACAUUCACUGCACUUACAUAAAAAUUAGGCAAUAAACACCAAAUUUAGUAGCUUUGUGUCUAAAAUUUUUAUCAAAAUAAAGCACAUAAAUCUGUCAAUUUGGCACAAUAUCGAAUUUUUUAGUCUCUUUUUUGUCCAAAGCUAAGCAACGUGUUAGAUGUAUCAUCUGGAAAGUAGUUGACAAGUUUGAAACAUAUAUAUUGAAAGUUGCUUCUAAUUUUUGUUUGGUGAUCAUUAAUGCUUUAUGAGACACUGAAUAAUUAUGAGAAUGUAUGAUAUAUAUAUUGUCUAUCUUAUAUUACGUUUUACUCAAGCUAGUUAAAAUGCCAAUGGUUCCUUUCUUAUCCGAAUUUGUGUUACUAGGAUCUGAAUAUGCAUGUUGGUAGUAGAAGGAUCUGCACUUGACCAAGCGUAGCUCGCAAGAUGUAGUCUCCAAGAAAGUUUAAACCCAUGAUUACUUGACGUGACCACGUAAUUUUUCAUAUCAAAAUAUUCAUGUCGACUUCGAGACCCUUCAACCUUCUCUCUUGAGGCUCCGGUCUAAGUUCAACUUUUAUGAUCCAGAGUCAAUAUAUUCCUCUCUUUAUACAUACACAAGUUGAUGAAACAAUUUAAUGUAAUACAAUUACGUGGGGGAAGCAAUGCGAAGUAUCAAAUACUUCAUCGACCUUGGUCUUUGGUCUUUGGUCGUUGUAUCUAAAAAUCAAUUUAUUUUAUGUGGCCAUGAAUUUCCCAUCUAGAGGCUAGCUUUUCUCUAUAAGAAAAAGCUUGGAAGAACAUUAUUUGGCAAUAACUAAUAAAUUUUCAUGAACAAUGGCUUCGGGAUUCAAGCUUGCGUUUGCACUCUCUCUGCUGCUUCAACUGUUAGGCAUGUCUUCUUUUCUGCAAUUAAUAUCUGAAUUGGCAAAUAUGCUAUUGUGAUCUAGUGGGUGAUUUUAAAUUCAUUGGCACCAUGUUUAGGAUUCUAACUUUACGUAUAAACUUAAUACAAACUUAAUAUAUAUAUAUAUAUGUGUUAUAAAAUAUUUAUAUUAAUUCAUUAGUUGAUACCUCUUAAAUGAACACAGAGAGAAGAAAGACUCAACCCAUUUAAGGGUCAAUGUAAUGAACCCAACUCUUACUCCUUUUCUACAACGCCACACAAGUAAACGAAACAAUUUAAUAUUGUGAGGUCUUUGGUCAAUGUACCUUUAACAAAGAAGAUAUUUUUGGCAGUAGCUAUUAGAUUUCAUAAACAAUGGCUUCAGGAUUCAAAUUUUUAGGCAUCUUUUCUUCUCUUCAUCGUGUUUGAUUCUGGAAUUAAUACUACACUCACUUAACACUGCUUCAGUUUCUGCUUUAUUUUCUUUCCCAUAACCCAUUUGUUUCAGCUUUUCUCUAUUCAUCUUUGCUUAGGCUAUUUGCAUUUUUCAGGCUUUUAAUCUUUGAUUUUGAGUAAAAAAAGCUCAGCUUUUCACAGCACUCUGCUUGUCUUGUGCUAUCAUUCCAUAAGCGUUGUUGUUUUCCAAGACUUGAAUUGAACAAAAACAAUGUAUUUAAAAGUGUGAUGAGAAAUGUUACAAGAAUUCUAUGAAAAAGUAGUGUGGGAAUUGAGAUAUACAAAAAUAUAUUGAUUAAAAUAAUGCAAUAUUCAUUUUGUCCCCCAAGGAAAAAACCAACUAAAUCACGAAAACUUGUUAAAACCUUUUCUUUUUCCUCUAAAUACUAUGUUUUGGCCGUGGAAAAUACAUGUUAAACGUGUUUUUCCCAUAUGUGUUACACGAGAAAUUUUUACUACUUCAUCUUCCGCUCUAUCUUUUAACUAAUGAAGAGGUUGCUCAAUUUCAUGGGCAGAUUUCUGUAGGGGAAGCUAAGUUGGAGUUGCCUAUGGAAGGAAUGCUAAUAAUCUUCCACAACCUGAUCGAGUAGCACAAUUGGUUGAAAAACAAAAUAUUCAGUACCUCAGGAUUUCUGAUUCCGAUCCCUAAGUGUUGAAGGCCUUUUCAAACGCUAGCAUUGAACUUAUGGUGGGAGUUCGUAAUGCAGACUUAUCAGCAUUCCAGUCCCAAUCUUAAGUAGAUUCCUGGCUAAGGAAUAGCAUCCUCCCAUACUACCCAGCCACAAAUAUCACCCACAUUACUGUUGGUGUUGGAAUGGUUGAUAGCCUGGACGAUGCCGCCAACUUGGUUGUACCCGCCAUGAGAAAUGUCGUUUCCGCAUUGAAAACAGCUAACCUGCAAGAUAGGAUCAAGGUUUCAACUCCACUCUCCUCUGCAGUCUUAUCCCAAUCGUACCCCCCUUCCGAAGGGGCAUUUAGCAGUAGCUAUGAAAAUGUCUUGCGACCUUUGUUGGAUUUCCUGGAAGAGAACAAAUCACCUUUUAUGGUCGAUUUAUAUCCUUUUUACGCUAGGAAUGGAGAUUCUUCUUUGGAUUAUGUUCUGUUUAAGUCAACCUCUUCGAUUUUCGUAGACCCAAAUACCGGUUUAAGUUACAAUAACAUUUUUUAUGCUCAGCUAGAUGUUUUUCAUUUUGCUUUGGCCCAUCGGAAUUUUAGCAGAAUGAAGAUUAUUGUUACAGAAACUGGCUGGCCUACGAGAGGUUCACCCUAUGCUAGUAUUGACAAUGCCCAGGACUUACAACACCAACUUAAUUCGUCAUGUUAUGGAUGGCCCUGGUACGCCUGGUUGGCCUCAUGAAGAGCUAGUUGUGUACAUUUUCUCCUUGUUUAAUGAGAACCUAAAGCAAGGAAACAGAGAGAAACUUUGGCAUAUUUUAUCCGGACAUGGCGAGUGUAUAUAACCUGGGCUUUCCUGACGAAGGAGGAAGAAGCUGGUGCAUUGCUUCUAGCCAGGCUUUGGAUUCGGAUUUACAGUAUUUGCUAAUUUGGGUUUGCAUUCUGGGAAAAGCGACUUGUUCGGCAAUUCAGCCAGGCCAGCAAUGUUUUGAACCAGAUACCCUAUUUUCUCAUACCUCUUUCGCCUUCAACAAUUACUACCAGAAAAAUGGGGCCACCGAUGAUGCAUGCAAUUUUGGAGGAACUGGGAUCAAAGUUUAUACGGACCCUAGUAAUUCAAUUACAUUAUGCAAAAUUUAAUAACAAAAUUGCAUGAUUUCUCAAGGCUAAAAAACUUUCCAUUAUCUGUUACAUUUAUUUGUGCAGGCUAUGGUAAAUGCAUCUAUCACUGUAAGUAUAAAUUCUGAAACAUCCUAUGUACCCUACACGUUGUCUUAUCGCCCUUUCUAUUGUUAUAUUUCAUCAUUACAUGCUGCUUCCGUUUUUUCGAUUUGUACAGAAGAGGAGGUAUCAUGAGAAUAAAGUAGUUGUUGUGAUUAUUGUGGACGAGUGCAUGAGCUAAGCUAAUGUUACCAACGUUCAAUUGUUGUGAUUAUCAUGCUGGACUACCAAAUUAAACUGCAGCAUGUAAUACGACUACCGUUGCUGCUGCUACUUCUUUUCUCAAUACGGUCUGAGGUGUGCACAUGGAUAUUGCUAGCUAGUUUCUUAGUGAUGGUUUUUUAGUUUCUCAAGCUGGGCAACUCGUUAGAUGGAUCAUCUGGAAGAUAGUUGACUAGUUUUAAACAUAUAUGAAGGUUGCCUCUAGUUUUUGUUUGGUCUUCAAUAAUGCAUGUAUGUGGUAGAAUAUAUACACUAGUAUGCUCAACUUUUUUUGAUUUGUUUCAUGUUUUUGACAAUUCUUCAAAUUUUGGUUAAGGAGAUUUUACAAUCGGAUAGAUAUGUUUUUAAAAUUGUUGUUUAAUUUUAUUCUUUUUGAUCAAGACUGUUAUACUUUCUACUGAAAAAAAUAUAUUAAUUAUUUUUUUUAUUAAAUUUGAAAACUCAAUCAUUUUGAGUUGAGUCGAACAACACUUUAAUUUUUUAAAGAUAAAUAUCAAAACUAUAUAUUAACUCUGAUUCAAUGUGUAAUAUGUCAUACAUGAACAUUGAUUUCGUCAUUACUAAUAUUAUUGAAUCUGCAGUUUUACUCUCAUAUACUGCAGACACAAGCAAUUAUAUUAAUCCAAUAUGAAAAUAAAUGUAUGUACUCAUUUCUUUAAAUGUAUACCAUUGAAUUACAAUAAAAUUUUCAUAUAUACAUAUGAACUACAAAUCAAGUUUCAUGUAUAUAAUUGUAUAGAAUCAAAAUUUUAAUUUGAUAUUUAUUUUAUUUUUAAUUUUAAUUUCAAAAAAACUUCAUAAAAUAAAGACAAUAUAGUGAUUAUAAAGUCAAUAUCCCUAUUUUCCCUCCUUUUAUACGUACACAAGUGGAUGAAACAAUUUAAUGUUAUACAAGUGGAGGAGAGUUGUGAGGUAUCAAAGACGGCAUCGACUUUGGUCUUUGGUCAAUGCUUUAUGUGACCAUUGGAUUUCCAAUCUGGUGGCUAGUUUUUCGCUAUAAAAAGAAGCUUGGAUGCCACUGCCAGUUAGUGUAAAGGAAUGAACAACAUUAUUUGGCAUCAAUUUUUAAAAUCGAUGGCUUCAAGAUUUAAGCUUGUUUCUGCACUCUCUUUGUUGCUUCUUCUGUUAGGUAUUCUCAUAUUUUCUUUUCUCUUUUUUUUCAUAGUAUUUAUUUCUCAAUUGGUCAAUAUAUUAACGUCAUGUUCAAGAUUUUAAUUAUAUGUAAUAUUUGUGCUUAAUUCUUUUGUUGGUAUGACCUCUAUCUAAAAAUUUUAUUAGAUCCUGUCUCUCUUUUGCUUAAUUUUAGGAGCAAAAUUUGAUUAAGUGGAAAGAGUCAAAGAAUACAGACUGAACCAUUUUAGAGUCAAUGAACCUAAUUACACACAAGUAAACGAAACAAUAUAAUAUUGUGAGGUCAUUGGUCAAUCAUCAAUGUGCCUUAAAGAAGGAAGAUAGUUUGGCGGUAGCUAUUGGAUUUCAUACACAAUGGGCCGUCCAUGGCUUCAAGAUUCAAGCUUUUAGCCAUCUUUUCUUCUAUUCAUAUUUGCUUAGACCAUUCUAUUUUCCAGGCUUUUAAUCUCUGGUUUUGAGUAAACAAUCUCAGCUUUUCUGAGUACUCUGCUUGUGUUGUGUCCUUUCAUUCUUUUCCCUCUUUCUUAUAAUAACAGAUGGGAUAUAUGUAAAUUUUCAAAAUGUCUGAAUCGUUUCAUUUAUCAGAUAUCUCAAUAUAUAUAUAAUUAUUUUAUUAUGUAAAUUCGUAUUAAUAUUUGUAGAAUAUCUGAAUUUAAAUCAAAUAUCAAAAUUCAAUUUCGAUGGGCAGAUUUUUGUAGGGGAAGCAACGUUGGAGUUGACUAUGGAAUGGAUGCUGAUAACCUUCCAUCCCCUGAUCAAGUAGCACAAUUGGUUCGAAAUCACAACAUUCAGUACCUUAGGAUUUAUAAUUACAGACCCGAAGUGUUGAAGGCCUUUUCAAACACCGGUAUUGAACUUAUGGUGGGAGUUCCUAAUGCAGACUUAUCACAAUUCCAGUCCCAACCAUAUGUAGAUUCCUGGCUGAGGACUAGCAUCCUCCCGUACUACCCAGCCACAAAGAUCACCCACAUUACUGUAGGUGUUGAAGUGACUAAUUACCCAGAUAAUACCGCCAACUUGGUUGUGCCCGCCAUGAGAAAUGUCGUCUCAGCAUUGAAAUCGGCCAACCUGCAAGGUAAAAUCAAGGUUUCAACUCCACUCUCCUUUGGGGUUUUAUCCAAAUCCUUCCCACCUUCCGAAGGGGCAUUUAACAGUGGCUAUGAAAAUGUCUUGAGACUUUUGUUGGACUUCCUAGAAGAGAACCAAUCACCUUUUAUGGUCAAUUUAUAUCCUAUUUACGCUAUUGGAGCUUCUUCUUUGGAUGCUGUUCUGUUUAAGUCACCCUCUACGAUUUUCGUAGAUCAGCAUACCGGUCUUAGUUACAAGAACAUUUUUGAUGCUCAGCUAGACGCUGUUUUUUACGCCAUUGCCAAUCGGAAUUUCAGAACAACUAGGAACACAUUUGAUGCUCAGCCAGAUACUGUUCAUUUUACCUUGGCCAAUACGAAUUCGAGAAUAAACGACAUUAUUGUUACGGAAACCGGCUGGCCUACACAUGGUUCUAGGCCACCACAUGCUAGUACUCACAAUGCCAAGACUUAUAACUAUGGUGCUAGUCUUGACAGUGUCGACGACUACGCUAACAUUGACAAUGCCCAGACUUACAACACCAACUUAAUUAGUCAUGUUAUGGGUGGCUCCGGUACGCCUGCUAUGCCUGGUGCAAACCUAGAUGUGUACAUUUUUUCCUUGUUUAAUGAGAACCUGAAGCAAGGACCGGAAAUAGAGAGAAACUUUGGUUUAUUUGAUCCCGAAAUGAGGAGUGUAUAUAACCUGAACUUUCCUGGAAAAGGAACCGGAAAAAGCUGGUGCAUUGCUUCUAGCCAGGCUUCAAAUUCGGCUUUACAGAAUGCGCUAGAUUGGGCUUGCGGUCAGGGAAAAGCAGAUUGUUCGGCAAUUCAGCCUGGCCAGCGAUGUUUUC
rnacentral:lncRNA from 1 species